AUGGAGCCGGGUGGGGUCCUGCCGCAUCCCGGGUACCCCCCGUUUCCCAGCCGUACCCCACUUCUCCAGCCCCCGCCGCUGGUGCGCGUAGGUGGUCGAUGCUUUCCCGGCUCCCACCCCUGUACAUACCCCGAGGGAGACUGGGCAGCGCGGCCGGCACACCCAGCCCGGCUUGCACACGAGUGUGCACGGGCGUGCGCGGGCGUGCAAAGCCUCCUCUGGCUUCUCUGUCCCACUCCCCUCUCGCCGCGCUGGUUGUUCUGGGCUCCAACAGAGCCUGAGGAGGAGAUGAGUCUUCUUCUCCUUCUUCUCCUUCUUCUCCUUCUUGUUCCUCUCCUCCUCCUUCUGCUUCCUCUCCUUGUUUUUCUUCUUCUCCUUCUUGUUCCUCUUCUUUCUUCUUCUCUUUCUUCCUCCUCCUCUUCUUCUCUUUCUUCCUCCUCCUCUUCUUCUUCUUCUCCUUCUUGUCCCUCUUCUUUCUUCUUUGUCUCCUUUUUCUUUUCCUUUCUCCUCUUCUUCAUUUUCUUCUUCUUCUUCUUUUUCUUCUCUUUCUUCCUCCUUUUCCUCCUCCUUAUCCUUCUUCUUCUCCUCCUCUUUCUCCUUCUCCUUCCUUCUCCUUCUCCUUCUCCUUCUCCUUCUCCUUCUCCUUCUCCUCCUCCUCCUCCUCCUCCUCCCUCUUUAUUAUUAUUAUUUUUUUUUGGUGGGUUUGGUUUUCCAAAAUAAAUUUCAUACGUCGAUCUCCCCGCGGCGGGUUGGUGGGUGCCUCGUGUCGGGUGUCCUGGGGGACACUCUGAAGGGGGGGGUCCCCAAGGAGGUGCAACAUCACCAGGGAAGGUUUGGGGGUGCAAGGGGACCCUGGGUCACCCCCAGCCCCUGUCACGGCCCCGCUGGGGACCAGGUGGCUUCAGCUGAGACUUACACCCCCAAAACCACCCUCCGGGGGGGAGACUCCAUCUCAGGCCAGGAGGGUCCAGCCCCCCUGGGAUGCUCCAGUCCCUCCCCAGAUGCUCCAACCUCCCCAGUACGCUCCAGUCCCCCCAGUGCUCUGUUCUUUCCUGGA
rnacentral:lncRNA from 1 species